rnacentral:rRNA from 1 species
GACGAACGCUGGCGGCGUGCCUAAUACAUGCAAGUUGAGCGAUGAAGAUUGGUGCUUGCACCAAUUUGCAGAGCAGCGAACGGGUGAGUAACGCGUGGGGAAUCUGCCUUUGAGCGGGGGACAACAUUUGGAAACGAAUGCUAAUACCGCAUAAUAACUUUAAACAUAAGUUUUAAGUUUGAAAGAUGCAAUUGCAUCACUCAAAGAUGAUCCCGCGUUGUAUUAGCUAGUUGGUGAGGUAAAGGCUCACCAAGGCGAUGAUACAUAGCCGACCUGAGAGGGUGAUCGGCAACAUUGGGACAGAGACACGGCACAAACUCCUACGGGAGGCAGCAGUAGGGAGUCUUAGGAAAUGGAAGAAAGUCUGACCGAGCAACGCCGCGGGAGUGAAGAAGGUUUUCGGAUCGUAAAACUCUGUUGGUAGAGAAGAACGUUGGUGAGAGUGGAAAGCUCAUCAAGUGACGGUAACUAACCAGAAAGGGACGGCUAACUACGUG